rnacentral:rRNA from 1 species
CCUACGGGAGGCAGCAGUGGGGAAUUUUCCGCAAUGGGCGAAAGCCUGACGGAGCAAUACCGCGUGAGGGAAGACUGCCUAUGGGUUGUAAACCUCUUUUUUCAGGGAGGAAUAAAAUGACGUGUACCUGAAGAAUAAGCAUCGGCUAACUCCGUGCCAGCAGCCGCGGUAAGACGGAGGAUGCAAGUGUUAUCCGGAAUCACUGGGCGUAAAGCGUCUGUAGGUGGUUUAAUAAGUCAACUGUUAAAUCUUGAGGCUCAACUUCAAAACCGCAGUCGAAACUAUUAGACUAGAGUAUAGUAGAGGUAAAGGGAAUUUCCAGUGGAGCGGUGAAAUGCGUAGAUAUUGGAAAGAACACCGAUGGCGAAAGCACUUUACUGGGCUAUUACUAACACUCAGAGACGAAAGCUAGGGUAGCAAAUGGGAUUAGAUACCCCAGUAGUCCUAGCCGUAAACUAUGGAUACUAGAUGUUGAACAGAUCGACCUGUGCAGUAUCAAAGCUAACGCGUUAAGUAUCCCGCCUGGGAAGUAUGCUCGCAAGAGUGAAACUUAAUGAAUUGNGNGNGNGANGCGAGCGACACGAGGAGAG